rnacentral:lncRNA from 1 species
AGAUAAAAAGAGAGGUGAUCAUUAAUGAUUCGUCUUUUUUGGGAUUCUAGUUUUUGGUGUUUUGAUUGUUUGGGUUAUUGUGGUUUCUUUUAAGCUGUAAAAUAAAGAUUUAUGUAAAAUUAGAUUGAUAGGUGAGGAAGAUAAAUAGAUGACCACAAAUCUUAGGUAGGAAAUAUUUUUGAUUAUUGAUGUUAGCACAAUAUAAACAGUAAUAUGUUCAAAACGAUGUCGUAUUAUCUUGUUAACGGUUGACUAACUUCUGUUAGAGUCAACGUAGAUUUAGACGUGUUUUAAAAAGUUUGGGUAAUUUUUCUUAAAUUAUAAUUGAGUUGAG